UACGUAGGGGGCAAGCGUUGUCCGGAUUUAUUGGGCGUAAAGAGCGUGUAGGCGGCCAGAUAGGUCCGUUGUGAAAACUCGAGGCUCAACCUCGAGACGCCGAUGGAAACCAUCUGGCUAGAGUCCGGAAGAGGAGAGUGGAAUUCCUGGUGUAGCGGUGAAAUGCGCAGAUAUCAGGAAGAACACCCGUGGCUAAGGCGGCUCUCUAGUACGGGUAC
rnacentral:rRNA from 1 species